CAUAGGUUAAUGAGGCGAACCGGGGGAACUGAAACAUCUAAGUACCCCGAGGAAAAGAAAUCAACCGAGAUUCCCCCAGUAGCGGCGAGCGAACGGGGAGCAGCCCAGAGCCUGAAUCAGUGUGUGUGUUAGUGGAAGCGUCUGGAAAGGCGCGCGAUACAGGGUGACAGCCCCGUACACAAAAAUGCACAUGCUGUGAGCUCGAUGAGUAGGGCGGGACACGUGGUAUCCUGUCUGAAUAUGGGGGGACCAUCCUCCAAGGCUAAAUACUCCUGACUGACCGAUAGUGAACCAGUACCGUGAGGGAAAGGCGAAAAGAACCCCGGCGAGGGGAGUGAAAAAGAACCUGAAACCGUGUACGUACAAGCAGUGGGAGCACAGAGCAAUCUGUGUGACUGCGUACCUUUUGUAUAAUGGGUCAGCGACUUAUAUUCUGUAGCAAGGUUAACCGAAUAGGGGAGCCGAAGGGAAACCGAGUCUUAACUGGGCGUUAAGUUGCAGGGUAUAGACCCGAAACCCGGUGAUCUAGCCAUGGGCAGGUUGAAGGUUGGGUAACACUAACUGGAGGACCGAACCGACUAAUGUUGAAAAAUUAGCGGAUGACUUGUGGCUGGGGGUGAAAGGCCAAUCAAACCGGGAGAUAGCUGGUUCUCCCCGAAAGCUAUUUAGGUAGCGCCUCGUGAAUUCAUCUCCGGGGGUAGAGCACUGUUUCGGCAAGGGGGUCAUCCCGACUUACCAACCCGAUGCAAACUGCGAAUACCGGAGAAUGUUAUCACGGGAGACACACGGCGGGUGCUAACGUCCGUCGUGAAGAGGGAAACAACCCAGACCGCCAGCUAAGGUCCCAAAGUCAUGGUUAAGUGGGAAACGAUGUGGGAAGGCCCAGACAGCCAGGAUGUUGGCUUAGAAGCAGCCAUCAUUUAAAGAAAGCGUAAUAGCUCACUGGUCGAGUCGGCCUGCGCGGAAGAUGUAACGGGGCUAAACCAUGCACCGAAGCUGCGGCAGCGACACUAUGUGUUGUUGGGUAGGGGAGCGUUCUGUAAGCCUGUGAAGGUGUGCUGUGAGGCAUGCUGGAGGUAUCAGAAGUGCGAAUGCUGACAUAAGUAACGAUAAAGCGGGUGAAAAGCCCGCUCGCCGGAAGACCAAGGGUUCCUGUCCAACGUUAAUCGGGGCAGGGUGAGUCGACCCCUAAGGCGAGGCCGAAAGGCGUAGUCGAUGGGAAACAGGUUAAUAUUCCUGUACUUGGUGUUACUGCGAAGGGGGGACGGAGAAGGCUAUGUUGGCCGGGCGACGGUUGUCCCGGUUUAAGCGUGUAGGCUGGUUUUCCAGGCAAAUCCGGAAAAUCAAGGCUGAGGCGUGAUGACGAGGCACUACGGUGCUGAAGCAACAAAUGCCCUGCUUCCAGGAAAAGCCUCUAAGCAUCAGGUAACAUCAAAUCGUACCCCAAACCGACACAGGUGGUCAGGUAGAGAAUACCAAGGCGCUUGAGAGAACUCGGGUGAAGGAACUAGGCAAAAUGGUGCCGUAACUUCGGGAGAAGGCACGCUGAUAUGUAGGUGAAGCGACUUGCUCGUGGAGC
rnacentral:rRNA from 1 species